rnacentral:ncRNA from 2 species
GGAAGCCGGUGCAAACCCGGCGCGGUCGCGCCACUGUGAUCGGUUCCGCAACCUUGAGCGGGGCCGAGAGCCAGAC